ensembl:lncRNA
GUUUCAUACCAUUGUGAUUGGAAAAGUUGAUUGAUAUUAUUUCAAUCUUCUUAAAUUUAUUGAGAUUUACUUUGUGGCCUAAUAUGUGAUCUAUCUUGGAGAAUGUUCCAUGUGCAUUUAAAAAGAAUGCGUAUUCUGCAGUUUUUGGAUAGAAUGUUCUCUAUAUAUCUAUUAAGUCCAUCUGUCAUUUAAGUCCAAUGUUUCCUUAUUGAUCUUCUGUCUGGAUGAUCUAUCCAUCGAUGUAAGUGGGGUGUUAAAGUCCCUUACUAUUUUGUGUAACUGUCAGUUUCUCCCUUUAUGUCUGUUAAUGUUUGCUUUAUGUAUUUAGGUGUUCCUAUGCUGGGCUCAUAGAUAUUUAGAAGUAUUAUAUUCUCUUGUUGGAUUGUUCCCUUUAUCAUAAUGUAGUGCCCUUCCUUGUCUCUUGUUACUAUCUUUGUUUUAAAGUCUAUUUUGUCUGAUGUAAGUAUUGCUACUCCAGAUUUCAUUUCCAUUUGCAUGGAAUAUCUUUUUCCAUCUCUUCACUUUCGGUUUGUGAGUGUCUUUAGGUUUGAAAUGGGUCUCUUGUAUACAGCGUAUAUAUGGGUCUUGUUUUUUAUCUAUUCAGCCACACUAUGUCUUUUGGUUGGAGCAUUUAGUCCAUUUAUGUUUAAAGUAACUGUUGAUAAGUAUGUAUUUAUUGCCAUUUUGUUACUUUUUUCCGGAUGUUUGUUAGUGGUAUUUUAGUCCUGAGAAAGUUUAAGAAGCUCUGGGGGACAACCCAGGCUUUGACAUGUGGGCUGUUCUCCCAAUCCCAUCCCUUCCAAGCAGUUGGCCAUAGACAAGGACCUGUUCUGAGCCUCAUUGAUAAAAUAGAGAUAAUAAUACUUGGGACAUUGAGUUGUUGUGAUGAUCAAACGAAAUAGCAGAAUGGGUGCACAAUACAGGUCUGCCCCUCUCCCCUUUCCCUAAAAUAUCUUCUUUGGCUUUUAUAUUUAUGUCCCAAGAAGUCGACCCUGGAGGGAGUAGAAGGAGGCAGCCAUGAGAGCGGUUUGAGAUAAGCUGUUUUGCAGAGGAUCUGAAUUUCAGGAUGUAACGUGAGAAAACAUUGAUUUCUCAUGCCAGAGAAAAGAAGUCAAAACAGGGGGCCCAGAUUGCCCAGGAGUUAUUGCUUGGAGAAGUUCUGUAAAUGGUGUUGCUGCUUUCUGCUGUCCUCACGGCGCCUUCCAAAUCCAGCUUGCUUAUUUUAAUCUUAAACUUGCUCUGACUUAUUUAGGAGAAUUGCAGCUGUGGGGGAGAGAAAAUGUCUGAGGAUUCUCCCAUCCUGUAGACAAUGAUGCCACUAAUCACCCGUCCUCACCAUUCUUACUUGUCCAGAAAAAUAAGGAUAUUGUUUCCUCGGGCAAGGAAACCAAAUUGCUUGAUUUUCUUACUCAGUUGACCGCAGACUUGCUGUCCCAUGAGAAUAGGACAGCUUUGCUGAAACUGCUGGGGAAAUGCAGUCUCUCUUUUGGGAAGAGUAACACUGGCAAGUUUAGUGUCGCCCUAGGGGUGUGUCAACAUCCUGCAUUUCCCUUAUCGGCCAACUUUGUGAAACAAUUCCCCCUGCUGAGUCUUGGAGCUCUCCUCUGGAACAUGACAGGCUGGAUCAGAAGACUGCAACAAGGAUGGUGAGUCUGCAAAGUGAUCUCACGUGGUGCUCAUAAUAAUCCUCUGAAGUUAGGGGGCAGCAUCUGUCCCAUCAUUCAAAUGAGACAACUGAGUUAGAGAACUCAAAGUUAUACGACCUGGAAGUAGCAUAACCAGGCCUAUUGACUCCAAGUGCAGAUUCUAUUCUAACAGAACUGUUGAAAAUAAACCAUCACUUAUCAAAACUCUCGUUAUCUCCUUAUAUUGACACAAAUAAUCCAUAAUCAAUCUAUAAAUCAAAAUUGGGGUGAUUUUAUUAUGAGGCAGAUCUGAGGACUAGCCCAGGGCCUUCCUUCCCCAAGGAAGGAAGAUCACCAAAGAAGCGGAGUGUACACACUGGUUAUAUACUGUCUUGGAACAAAGAGCAGACAUCACAUAUGAUAGGAAUGUCCCUUUUACAAUAGUCAUGAGAUUGCUUUGCUGGCACAGCAAAUCGGUGGUCAGCAGGUCGAUGGUCACAAGGUGGAUGGUCACAAGGUGAGCACAGCAGGUCAGUAAUUAAUCCUUAGUUUAGGGAGAGGCUUAUCCUUAAAGAAAUGUUGAUAUGGGAGAAUCUACACCCCUAUCUUGAAGGGCAUCAUUCUUGUCUUCAGGACAUAGUAAAGGCUUAAAGCAGAUGUACAAUGCAUGCUCAACAGGCCACGUCAGGCCCUUUUGGAAAAACAAGGUCAGGACAAAUUAGUUUUAACCCAAAUGGCUUCCUCAUGCACUCCAAUAUAUACUAUUGCUUUUCAUUUAUUUGUCUCUUGCUAGGACAAAGCAAGAGUAAUAUAGGUGUAGAUACAUGCUGAGUAAUAUAUGGGCAGAUAUAUGAGUAGAUUGGUUUUUUUGAUUGCAAGGAAUAGAGACUCUUCAGGUGACAUCAUGCAGAGUGUCACCACACUGCCUGGUGACUUACACAGCCUUGUGGCUCCCACAGCCUCUUAGAAUAUGCAAACUGCUGUCCCUCUGUGGGUCUGCCAGUAUUUGCUCCUGCUGUUGACAAAUCAACUAAGCAAGCAACCAACUACAGUUGAACCUCAUAAUUUGUGGAUUCUGUAUCUGCAAAUUCUCCUCCUCACUAAAACUUAUUUGUAACCCCAAGAUCAAUACCUUUGGAGCUUUCGCGGUCACCUGUGGCAUGCACAGAGCAAUGAAAAAUUUGAGUAGCUUGAUGUGUGCAUUCCCAGCUAAGCUCUUAUAUUGUAAUCGUGGGUCCUUUUUGCAGUGUAUUUAGUGUCACAUUUUUUGCACUUUCGUGCUUUUGGUGGUGAUUUCACUGUUUAAAAUGGCCUCCAAGGGUAUUGCUGAAGUGCUGUCCAGCAUCCUAAGAGCAAGGAGGCAAUGAUGUGUCUUGAUGUGCCUUGGAGGAGAUGCGUGUGAUAGAUCAGCUUCCGUCAGGGGUGAGUUAUAGGGCUGCUGGCUGUGAGUUCAGCGUUAAUGGAUCAACAGUAUACAUUAGCUAAGGUGUCUUUAAACAGAAACAGACAUGGAAUGAGGUUAUGUAUUGAUUGGUUGAUGAAAAUGUGACCAGAGUCUCACAGGAACCUGACCCUGUAUUCCCCUUCAGAGCAAUGGUUCAGUUUUGGCUAAUUCAGUGUUCAUGGUGACUUUCUAGAACAUAACUACCAUGAAUAAUGAGACUUGACUGUACGUCUCAACCAAACUCUUUAUGAGAGAGGCCCUGAUUAAUUGCGUUUUUCCCUCUCAGUCAUUUUUGGUCAGAGCUUUCUCAGAUUGUCCACCCUGAGGUCAAGUGACCACCUGGAGGAGGGAGGGGUUACAUGGAGCCAAAGUGGUGAGCAGGCAAGAGAACCACCCAGGGCUGCUUCUCUAGGCAGAGUCCUGAGCUGGGGAACAGGGUCAGUUUCCUUCAAAAUGGGAAAGGGGGCCAGGCAGGGACCCAAAGUGGAUGAUGCUCCUCUUUAGCACACUCGUGUUGUCACAGGGCCCGGAUGUCCAGUCAGUCAGUGGAAGCCUACAUUUGUGAACUUGUGGGAGUGUGAAUGAAGAAAUAAAGAAAUCUGUAGAAGAAACAAGAUCAGACAGGAAGAUGAAUUGAAGCUAACUGGACUUCUGCUAGAGUAGCUUUUAAUACAUUGAUUGACCAGAAGCAAGACAACUAGAAAAGACUUGAAGGAAGGGAGCCAACUGAGAGUGAUGUGUCUAGGCGUAGAAAAAGGCCUUGGAGAGGCAACACUUAAGAAAGAGGGUCCGGCUGGAUUCUAGGGAGGGAGACGAUGGCUAGGCCAAGUUUGGAGGACUGUAGAGAGAAAGCUCAGAUCCGGACUUGAAGGUGGACCUGGGCUCAGCCAGGGGUGCCAGGUGUCCCUGAGAGCCACGGCUGCAGCACUGGGGCUUCCCGGGGGCCGAGGGAGAACUAUUAUGAACCAGACCAGUUUGAUACGGGUAAUGAGCUAGUGAAAGCAACAAGACUGGAUCAGUUGACAUUUCAUUACUCUUGUACAAAUUGUAACCUGAGAUCAUUGCGGCUGGUAAUAAAAUACUUUUCUCACUGCAAUCAGUGGAUUGAAUGUGAGCAGGGAGAGUCAUCAGACAAGAUAAUGGAGAGGGUUACCAUUUAAUACCAGGCAAAUAGUUACUCUCUGGCCUCAGCUCUGACCACCUGUGUUGUUGACUCUUCUGCGGUCAGGGUCCCCCCCUGGACAGGAAGGCAGCGGCUGUGUGUGGGGAAGACGUGCCCCUCCUCAGCCUGGCCUAAUCCUUCCCAGCGAGACUCCUCAUCCAUGCUGUUGAUACCAGGACGGAGUGACCGGGGCACACCAGCAUAGGCUUCUGCAGGAGGCAAGCUCCUUGAUGCCCUCCUGUGAGCGGAGAGGAGCUGGGGACACACUGCCCAGACGAACCCAUCUCACUGUGCCUCAGAGACCGGAGCAUCUGUCCUUGCCCGCAAAUUACUCUUUUUGUGCCUGGAGGAGGGAAUAUGGCGGAAAACUCUCUUUUCCCUAAAUCUUUAAGUAAUUCUUAUCACUUUCUUAACCCUCUAGGGCACAUAUGCAAAUGCCAUUCAGGCAUUUAGUUAUGAAAUUUCCUCUACAGCUCCUUGCCAGACAUCACCAUAGCCUCUUUCCCACGACACACAGUCUCCCUUAGGGGAGGGUCCAUUGAAGUCUUCACAAGGUCCCCAGACAUCAAUACUGACGAGUUUUGAUCAUCAACACACACACUGCUGAUCAGUUAGCUCCCAUCUUAACCGACUGGGUUUUUUUGUUUGUUUGUUUGUUUGUUUUUGGUGAGGAAGAUUAGUUCUGAGCUAACAUUGAUUGCCAACAUUCCUCAUUUUUUUUCUUUUUCUCUCCAAAGCCUCCCAGUACAUAGUUGUAUAUUCUAGUUGUAGGUCCUUCUGGUUCUGCUGUGUGGGACACUGCCUCAGCAUGGCCUGAUGAGCGGUGCCAUGUCCGCGCCAGGAUCCAAACUGGUGAACUUAACCACUUGGCCACGGGGCCGGCCCCUUAACUGACUGGUUUGUUAGAAACAAUUCUACCUGUUACAGGAUGACAGCUCCCCCCAAAAGACGAAGCAUGCCACUGGGUUUCCAUGGUGAUUGCCACUGAGAUGUGGCGACCUUUUGUCUUCCUCGUUUCAGAUAGCAUCCGUAUUCCGUGUAUCCAGGCCAGCUCAGCAUCCUUGCUAGUCCCUCUUGAUCCUCUGCUGAGCUGAAGGUCUCCUAACAAAAGCUUGCUCCUAGAAUGGAAUGAACAAAAUGGCUCCCUCAACUUCCCAUUUAUAAGAGAGAAAUUUGGGAGUUGGAGAGAAAUUAUUUGGGGGUAGCUCUGAUGCGACAAAGCUUUCAUUCUCAGUCCUGUGGGGGCUCUGAGCAGGGUAAACAGGCCAGGAAGGAGGGCCAGGUGCCUUCAAAUGAACAGUGGUCGAUUUGGCAAGCAGUUCAUGUCAUGUGAAUAGGAAGGGCAUGUAUUCCUCAUGAUUCACAGCAGGCUAGACUACGAGACUAUGUGGCCUUUGAAAGACAGUUAACACACAUUAACACGAUUUCUCCCUGAAGACUCAUCUUUUUUAUUGCUUAGUGCAUUUUGGGACUAUUUCUUCUAGGUACAUACAUUUAAAAAAUAACAUCUGUCUUAGUCUGUUUGGGCUGCUAUGAAAAAACCACCAUAGACUGGGUGCCUUAUAAGCAACAGGAAUUUAUUUCUCACAGCUCUGGAUCCCGGACGUUCAGGAUCAAGGUGCUGGCAGAUUCAGCGCCUGAUGAGGCCGAUUUCCUGGUUCACAGACGGCUGUCUUCCUGCUGUGUCCUCACGUGGUAGAAGGGGUGAGGGAGCUCUCUGGAGUAUUUUUUGUAAGGGCGCUAAUCCCAUUCAUGAGGGCUCCACCCUCAUGACCUAAUCACCUCCAAAAGGCCCCACCUCCUAAUACCGUCACACUGGGGAUUAGGCUAAUAUACGACUUUUGGGAGGACACAAACAUUCAGUCUAUGGCAACAUCUUAGCCAAUGAAACCUAUCAGCAUUACGUAGUGACGCUCUCCCUCACCAACAAUGUUAGCUCUGUUAAUAUAGAUCGCAUCAAUUAAAUAGCUAUAUAGAUGAAUGUAGAUUAAUAUAGACAUCCUAGCUUUCUGGUCCUGACAGCAAUGGGUUCCCAAGCAAUGGGGAAGGACAGGCUCUAUUGUAUGUUCCAGGAGGUCGUCAGAGGUGGUUGGAUGUCUUAUAGUCUCAGGAUGACCCAGGGAGUUGUCAGACCCUCGUUAUAGGAUCUGGUGGGUGGAGUUCUGACUCUUCUCUAGAGUAGCCAAGCAAGCCAGGCCAGGGUGACCAUGCGGUUAGGUGAUGGUGUGCCCAAGUAUGGAAAAGAUGGUCAGACCCUCAGGGGCUGGCUCCUUAGGCAAAAUAAUCCUGACAAAUCCACAGCUAAGGCAGCCGUGCCCUUACAUUAAACCAAUGACAGGCGCCGAAUUCAAAUUACCGCAUUACAGUCAGGCUACACGGGGCAGCUGUACGUCCAUCUCAACUUUUGAGAACUUGAAGGUUGUAUAGUAACGAAAGGACGUUUCAUUUCAAACCGCGAUCUAGCCCUUGGGAUGGGCUCCUUUUUGACAAGCGGUCAAGUGCUUGUUAUACCUGCUUAUAAUGCCUGUACCUUUCUCUCAUUGCAUGUAUUACAACUGUAAUCAUAUUUUUAUUUUGUGAGUGUCUAUUCACUGUCUGUGUCACUUAAACUAUAAGCUCCGCUAGGGCGGGGCUGUGUCUGUGUGCCCACAGACACAUUCACGGAAGCAAACAGGAUGCCUGGCGGAUGAUGGGUUCUCAGUGAACAUGUGGAGUCAAAUAGGCGUGAACUGAAUGGCAGCUCGAUAAUCUGCUAGCCUGUCUCCUGGACCCCAUCUUCUUAUCUCAGGCCUGAUGUACACCCUGUAUCUUCUACUCUAUAUCAUCUUUGGAGCAGAACUAAUGCCAAAACAUGGACGCUUCAGAGCAGUAGUUAUUGGUUCACAGCAAAAAUAUGUAGGCGGGGUAGACCUGAAGCCGCAGCGUUCUGCCCAGGUUCAAGCAGAGGCUGAGUGUCCGACAGUCAGGGAUGUUGCAGGAGAGAUUCUGUCUUUGGGUGGCAGGGAGACUAGGCUACUUCUGUGAUGGCUUCCAAUCUAACAUUCUGUGGGCUUCCCGCAGUCCUGCCUUGUCUGAAUUGUCCUUCUGAAGACUCUGUAAAGUUUUAGCAGGAAAAGUUAAGAAAUAAGAAAGAAAAAGUAGCUACCUCUAGAUUGUCCGGGUGGGGUUAAGCCAGGUUGCAUUUACCCUGUGAGUUUUCUAUUGCUGCGAUAAUGAAUUCUGACAGACACGGUGGCCUGAAACAGCAACAGUGCAUUGUCGUGUGGCCUGUAGAGCAGAAGUCCAAUGGCACUCAUGGGGCUAAAGUCUGAGUGUUGGCAGGGCUGCACUGUUUUCUGAAGGCUCUGGGGAGAAGCCAUUUCCUUGCCUUUCCAGCUUCUGGAGGCCACCUACAGUACUUACCUUAUGGUCUCUUCUCCAUCUUCAGAGUCGUCAAUGUCACCUGUCUCUGACCUCCUCUGCAGUCACACCUCCCUCUGUGAUGACGGCCAGGACAGGCUCUCUGCUUUCAAGGACUCGCGUGAUUACAUGCGGCCCACCAAGGUAGCCCUGGGUCGAGUCCUUCAUCCCAAGGUCUUUGACCUUAUGCCCUUCUGCAGAGUCCCUUUUGUCACGUAAGGUAACAUAGUCACAAGUUCUGAGGUUUAGGCCACAGCCAUUUUGGGGGCCACGAUUCCGCCCACCAUGUUUACCAAGCCCUACAUCGUGACAGUUUUGGAUUUCUCGGGCAUCAACAGAGGGGUGCUAAAUCUUCACUUUAUAAAAUGAAAUAUAUUUGACUUUUAAAGAAAAGUCUAAUUUUUAAAUCCUUGUAUAUCUUCCCAAAUUCAGUUGUACAUUUUCCCACUCCUCAGAAUGACAAAGAUUUAAAAAGAUAUUGUUACUUGUAGAAAUGAUUUGCACUCAUGGUGUAUAAUGACAUCAUCCAAGGCAGGCCUGGCUGAAACUGGCCCCUGCCUGGAAGGCCAGACUUGCCUUUUGUCGGUGCCAAGGGAUGAGCUGGCCCUGAGAGGCUGAGGCAAGAUAAUUAAUUAAUUAAGUAAUUACUUAAAUUAAACUUCAGAGGCAGAGCAUCUAGUUAAUUAGAUCAUGGCAUGCUCUCAUAACUGAUCUUUCAGGGCUCCUCUCCUACUUUAUUUUGAGUUUUAUUAAUGUUUUUCUUCUCAUUCCUCAUCCCCACCCCCAUCCCCUCUCUUCAAAUGCAACUAGUCUGAUCUGUUUAGUACACACGUUUGGAUCCGCAUGUGGGACCCCCUGGCGGACCUACACAAGCUUGCUCAAGAGCGCACCCACGAGAGGGCAUUUUCCAACCCGCAGCCAUAUGCGUUCCUGAUGCUAUGACACUGCCAGAUGGUGUCUCAGAAUGGCCAUCCUGGUUCUCAUGGCCACCAGCGUGUGAGAGCAUUGUCUGACCUCCCACUUACUCCUACCCCGAUGAGUGUAAGGACUUCCUCGAACGCACCCUGGCACAUGUAACUACGUAUCCUGGCUUCGACAGCAGGGAUGGUGUCUUGCCUGCCCCCCUACUCUGGCCUCAACUGCACUGUGUCCCCUCUCUCUGCUUCCUUUUUUGCUUCUCCUACUAGGGUAAUGGAUCUUGGCCCUGCACUCAGAUGAAAGCCAGCUGGAGAGGUCUUCCCAGCUUCAGGUACCCGGGCCCCACCCCCAAAGAUGUGGUCUCAACUGUCUGUGGCGGGGCCAGGCAUGGGGACUUUUUAAAUGGGUUGAUCACCAAGGAGAAAUUGGACUGCUACUCCACAUGGAGGUAAGGAAGAGUAUGUCAAUACAGGAGAUCCCUUAGUGCAUCUCUUAGUACUACCAUGCCCUGUGAUUAUGGUUAAUGGAAAACUGCAACAACCCAGUCCAGGCAGGACUCUUUUUUAAAAAAUUUUUUGGGCGAGGAAGAUUGGCCCUAAGCCAGCAUCUGUGUCUUCCUCUAUUUUGUAUGUGGGAUCCUGCCACAACAUGUCCUGAUGAGCAUGUGUAGGUCAGUGCCCAGGAUCCAAACCUGCAAACCCCAGGUCACUGGAAGCAGAGCGUGCAAACUCAACCACUGUGCCGUUGGCUGGCCCCUCAGGCAGGACUCUUAAUGGCCCAGAGCCUGCAGGAAUGAAGGUUUGAGUCACUCCGCCAGACAGAGAACUAUGACCAGCUGAGGUGCUGCUGAAGGCAAAGGGAAUACAGAAUGGAUAAUGGAGAAAGGUAGUUAUCAAUACCAGCCAUCACCGUGCGACCAGUUACAGGAACGAGGACUGUAAUUGUCAUGAGUAUUUCCUCCUUAUUUUGUUAUGAGUAUAUUUGCGUGUGCGUGUGUAUGCGUGUAUGCAGAUAUCUUUGUUUUCUUCCUCUCUUAUCCCCUUAUUGUUUAACAUAAUAUGUUUUGACUUUAUAUCAUAGUAUAUAAGUAUUGUUAAUUUUACAUCAUAGUGCUGAAGUUACAGGAAUCAAGAAGCAUAAACGUUACACAAUGACCUUGCAUCCCCUUCUGGGGAGGGGGUUAGUAUGUUUUUGGUUGUAUGCAGGAUAGUUGCCUCACGUUAGGUAGAAGUAUAACUUUGUUAUUGUCCUCAUUUGGAGACUAAGUAUGGUUUCAGGACAUGUAUAUGGGUGCCAAGCUGACAAGGAGUGGCCUUGUGAUGGUUAAUUUUAUAUGUCACCUUGGCUGGGCCACGGUGCUCAGAUACUUGCUCAACCGUUAUUCUGGAUGUUCCUGUGAGGCUGUUUUUUGGAUGAGAUUAGCAUUUAAAGUGGCAGACUUUGAGUAAAGCAGGUUGCCCUCCUUAAUGUGGGUGGGCCUCAUCUAAUCAGUUGAAGGUCUGAAGGGAACAAAAGACUGACCUCCCCACGCCUCCCCCCAGCAAGGAAUUCUGCCAGCAGAUGGCAUUUGGACUAGAACUGCAACCCUGGCUCUUCCCUGGGUCUCCAGUCCUUUAUAAUAGAAUCAAUCUAGUUAUAGGUCUAGAAGCAAAGAGGGGUGGUGAGCGCCGGCCCUGAGGAGACCAGCAGUGUCAGGCCAGGCAGCUGCGUGGGGGCGGCCGUGACAGUUUCCUGGGGUAACUCAGGGUUAGUUUCCUGCGAGUCCCUCCUGAGUGGACACUGUAGUUUCCCCUCUCUAAGGGCCCGCUGCCAACAGCAGGUGCUCAGUAAAUGCUGAGUUGAAGAAAGAGCAAGGGAAGGAAAGAUUACUAAAAGAAGGAAAGUACUGGAAACUUCCUAAGCAGUCACUUUGUCCCAGUACAGCCAGUGCCAGGACAGAGAGACAGUCAAUUCUCGCUUAUUGGAAUCUGUGUAAAAUGAUCUCCCCAGACUCCUUCCAGGUCAGCGGGGCUGCAGAGGAGGAGCGGGGCUUGGCUCAGACGCCUGCAGACCCCUCGGAGCCCCAACUCAGCGAGGCCGAGGCCGCCCGGCCUCGGGUUUGGCCAGCAACAAAGGCCUCCAUUGUUCAGGCCUUGGAAUGUUUUUCCUUUUCUUUUCCUGAUCCCUGCACAGAAAAAGCCCUAAAGACUGUUUUCUCUGAGAACUUUGAAAACCCCGUCCUUCGCCUGCCUCAGGGAGAAAAGAAUGAAGAGUGGGAAAAGGGGGUAAUUAGUCACUGCUUGGCAGUGCUCCAGGGGCUGGCGGCCGCAGGCUGAGAGCGGAGCAAGCCAGCCUCGCCCCACCUUUAUCUUUCUAUAGCGUUUGAAUCCAGAGGCUCCUGGAAAGGGC